CGCGACACGACGCGCGCUGUGGGUUUGGCUUGGGGACCUCAACCACUAUGCUGUUGCCGAGUUAUGCAAAAAGAGCCUUGCGCAGCGCCAUACUGGGAACAACGAUCCACUUAUUCGGCUCCCAUCGGCUUUAUUCAUUAUUUUAUCCGAAGGAAGAUAUGUGCACGAUUGGUUGAUAAAACGAUAAAUAUUAGCUUCACUAAACCAAGUUCUUUAGUUCACAAUUCGUCAUUCGAGAACAUACAUAGUUCAGUGAUUGCCGCGUUCUAAAUUGUUCAAAUUAUUUUUGUAUGUUUUACGUAAAUCAUUAAAAAAGUUUUGAGUAAAAGGCGGUAAAUUGAGCUGUCAAAUUACGUGACCCAACGAAUGCAGUAGAAGGAACUUUGACAACUAGUCAGAUAAUAGUACGAAUAACGAAAAAAUGGAGACUCCCGAUGAAGGUUUCACCAUGACGGCGAGCGGAGGAAUCAAACCUGGAGUUAAGGAGGGCCCACGUAAAAAGUUGCCGACGAAUUUGAACCCGCAUCGGAUGCAAAAGAUAUUCGAUUCCGAAGAAAUAUCGAAAACUCGUACACAUCGUUAUGGAGGGAAAAAUACAAGCGGAGGUGUUGAAGAUGAAGAAAACUGUCCCAAGUUGUGUGUAGUGCAGUUACUUUGAAAUAGGUUUACUAAUUAACCUUUUGAGGUACCUUACUAGUAGGUAUACUUCAUUUAUUAUAACGUUAGAAAAAAGAGGCUCGUAGAAGCAGGAGUGCGAAACAUUUUAUUUCUAUUUUAAAUUACAAAACAAAACAACAACCCAAUAACAACACUAAUAACGAUAAGAAAACAAUAACUAAACAGUUAAAAUCACGAAAACUUGGCAAUAACAACGAACAGGAUGCAGUAUUCACAAGUGAAUGACAUAGAUAGAUACUUUUGUGACAUAUAACUUCAAAUGACAUAAACCGACAAAAUGAGAAAAUCCCUUCUGUCACAACUUAUGAAAGGAUUAGGUAACCUCUUAGAUUUGGUAGGAUUAUACUGAAGGGAAAAACGUUCCGGGUGUUGUGCAUCGCUGCUUCUUUUAAGUUUUUAGCAUU